AAAAUUAUAAGAAUUAUAAAUAAAAUAAAAUUUGAAAUAUUAUUUUAAAUUUUUGAAAUUAAUAUUUAUUUUGUUGAUGACAUUGUAAAAAAAUAAAAUAUUUAUACAAAUCGAAUUUUUUAUAAAUAGAUACUAAAUUUAUAUAAACUAUAUACAUUUAGACAAUAGUUUCAAUUUUUAUAAGUAUUUAUAAGUAAUAAAUUUAUUAAAAAAAUAUAAUUAUUUUCCCGUUGAAAAUGGAGGAGAAAGUGGGAUUUGUCCUAACGAUUUCAGCUCUUGAUAUUGCAGUUUGGGGUACAAUUUUCAUUGUAAGGCUAUAAUAUC
rnacentral:lncRNA from 1 species